UAGUUUUGUUCUUAGUCAAACUUCUUUAACUUUGACCAAGUUUCUAGAAAGUUAUAUUAACAUCUUCAGUACCAAAUAAAUGUACUAUCAAGACAUUUGAUGGUGGAUCUAACAAAACUAAUUGAUGGUGUAGAUAAUGGUGCAUUUUUCUAUAAACUUUGUCAAAGUUAGAGAAGUUUGACUUAGGACAAAACUAA
rfam:Sorghum bicolor cultivar BTx623 chromosome 1, whole genome shotgun sequence.